CGGGCUGCUCCUCACCGCGGUGCUGGCUGCUGCUGCUAAACACUCACUCCUGCUUGCUGUUUCUCUCGUGGUUUAUUUGUAUUUUAAAAGUAGUCAGGAUGCGGUUCCCCCCCCCCCCCCUUCUGACGCGUGGGAAGCAAAGCCGAUGGCUCGUGUCUAACAGCUGAAGGAGAACAGCCACGCGAGCUGCGGGGCAAACUGCGUCCAACAGCAAAAGGGACCAUUCAAUCUGAAUGAAACCAGAAGUGAGGCUCUUGCACCGGUCUGCUGGGGGGGAAAUCAGGCAUAAAUGGUCCUUUGGCCUCAGCUGAGGGCUGCUUUGGAAAGAUGCCAAAAUGGGGUUGGGAUUUGGACAGGAAACCAGAUCCUGAGUAUCUCAACUACUCUGAUUCCAUAUUUCAACAAAAGGUGAUGAGAAAGAAAAACCUCCUGGAAGCUAACUGUUGGAUAUGGGAUGAUGGAGACCAAGACAAUUGAAUCAACAGAAAAAGUGGUAGAAAAGUUGAAAGUAGAAAAUGGCUGAAAGGGAUGGGCUGGGGGCAGCACAUGUUCUGCUGUAAGAUAUGUUAUUUAUAGCAACACAGAAUUGUAGACUAAUUUAUGUUAGAAGGGACCACAGGUUGUCUCUAGUCCAAAUUCCUCCUUAAGGCAGAGUCUGCUAUGAGACCAAACCAGAGUGCUCAGAGCUUUAGCCAUUUAGGUCUUGAAAACCUCCAAGGAUUGAGAUUGUACAUCCAGCAUCUCUGGACAAUCUGUUCCAAUGCUUGGCUGUCCUCAUCAUGAAAAAGUUUUUGCUUAUAUCAAGUCAUGGUUUUUUUAAGUUACAAUUUAUGUCUCUCAGUUUUGUCCUCUCACCUUGCACUACUGUGCAGAGCCUGGCUUUGCUUUCUUGAUAAUCUCCCCUGGAAGCCCCUCUUAGGCUAAAUGAGCUCAGUUUCUUCAGUUUCUUCUUUAUAGGGCAAAUGUCCCAGCCCUUAUCCAUCUUGGUGCCACCCACUGAACUUGCUGCAAUUUAUCAUCACAGUCAAGUGUAUGGAAUAUGGAAUCAAAUGUAAUGGACUUUUCAGACAAUGAGUAUUCAGAAGAGAGCCAAGACUAGAGAAACAUUUAGAUGAUUCAUUGUCAUCUUAAUACUCAGGAACAACCAGGAGCUGAAGAAAAGCUUUGUAUACUAUUUAAAUGUGAUCUAUCUGCUCUAUUCCGUGGAGAAUCUGGUUACUUGAUCAGACCAGCUUUUGUAGGUUUUGUCCCCACUGAGUGUAGGAUCUGUCCCAGGGCCAUCAUGAAAACUUGUGUGUUUACAGAACGUUUCAACCUAAUAGCAGUUGUGCUCUGUAAAAGAUUUGUCAGAUGCAAGUGCACUAUUUGAUCAACUAGCUCAGAAGAGGGAUAUGCAAAACAGUGGUGGGUGGGAGAAAAAAGCAUCUUUUGAGUUGACAUAUUAUGAAAUAUUCAAGGUAACAGGUAGGAGAGCUUCAUCACCCACUCUAUUCCUGCUCCAACGAGCUACUGCCUGUACACUUCCAAAUCUUGCUCAGCAUUUUAUCUAACAGUAAUCCCCCCAGUUUGAAGAGACUAAAGGCAGCUCCAUGCUACUGAAGUAGAAUAGGUUUCUCCUCCUCUGUUUUAAAUUUCUCUUACAUCUUUCACAGUGAAACAGCUCAAAGGACUUUUCAACCAAUCCACAAGUUCCCGUGCACAUGACAGAGGUCCCAUUUUGAUUCAGAAGGAAAUGUGGCCUGGCUCACUACCUGGCAAAGCCAUACAGCCUCCAGGGUUCACACAGGGAGCCCUGUAACUCCCUCAGGCAGGAGGAGCACAGUCCCAGUGCAAGGCUGCAGAUACACAGACCCUGAGCCUAUGGAUAUUGAGAGGGCAUUUGCCAGAUAAUUUUAAAGGGAAAAGAAGUGAAAAUCCAGGAAGACUAAGGCCUCUCCAGUAAUAUAGAGAAAUCAGCAAUUCACAGUUGAGACUUUUAAGAAUCUUCCAGCAAAGUGAGACUAUGGAAAGAAAACUGGGCAAUCCCCUGUAAGGGCAACAGAAUCUUCUGUGCAAGUUAGUGCUCCUCCCUUUUCAUAACACAAGUCAGCUCCAGUGUACCAGGUUAGAUGAAGAUGUUCAAAUGGAAUGGACAUAUGCCCUGGAAACUAAACACACACUUUGCCUCAGAUAAAGCUAUUGCAACCAACUAGCAGGAAAAUGGAUGAAGAUUCAGCAAAACCUUAUUAGUCUGACUGCCACAGUGUUUUCCUGUCUCCACCCACCACAGCUCUAACAGUCCUUGACAGUCUAGUUCUUUCUGAGAAGGGCAAGUCCAGCAGUCACAGCAGAUAGACACACAGUAGUGCUGCAUCAGCAAGAAAUUUGAGCAGAUGGUUAUGUCCUAAUUCUGCUGAGCUUCCCAGUGUACAUUCUAAGCAUAACUUAAAAGUUGUUAUAACGAUAACCACUGUAGUAUAUAGGAACACACAUUACUGUGCUAGAUAAACAAUAGCACUUGGAAAAAAGCAAAAUACUACAUUGCAAUAUUGUAAAAAGCUACUGGUAAGGGCUUAGAAGCUUCAUGUGAAUAUGCAAUGUCUCUGAGCACAAAAGCUGGGUUUUAAAAAGUGCCUGUGCACUCAAGAGUUCUUCAAAUUGCUGCCAUUUUUGAAGGAAGUAAACAUUAUAACAACUACAUAUUACAUGGGUGGGGAAAAAAUUAACUAACAAAGUAAAAUAUUUUAAUUGUUAUGCACUGGAAAACAGAAAAAGCCAUGACAUUGUGAAAGACUGCAAACUUUUCCCCACAGUUCCCUUUUUCCAUCCAGCCGAAAUUGCCACAAUGCCAUCUCCCCAAGCUUGGGGACAGCCAGCGAAAUCCCUGCUGAGGACCACUGCAGGAGUGAAAGAAUGUACAAGAAUGUUGUGAUGAAUUUAAGAAUUAUAAAACCCUCCACUUAUCUAUGAGAGUUUACAUAUUUACAAGUUUGUGUUUUGAAGAAUGUGUAGAGUUUGUAGUUACUUGUGCUGUACACAGGAGACAACCUCCCCUGCAUUAGCCUGCCAGAGCAAGUCCUUUUUAAGACAGAGGACAAAUAAAGAUACCAGUGGGGUUUAUAAAGGUUUGGUGGCAAUGAAUAUCCAAGUUAACAGCUGUGUCUGCAAUGAACUCAGUGUCUGCAGGAUCUGGGGCUGCCUUCUAAAAGAGUCCAGGCAACUAUUCCACAAGCAUACAGUCAGCUGUGAGUGAAAGGAUGGUCAGGUUUCUACUGCACCUUAUUUCUUUUCCUGUUCUCCUUCCUUGCUUACCUUUCUCACCCUAAAUUCAAAAUACCCUCUGUCACAUUUUAACUUGAACCUUGUUUUCCUCUCUCAACAGUGAAAAUAAAAUAAAUAUCCUGCACAGUUAAGAACAAAAAUAAGUUUUACCUUUUGAAGCAUUGCAUUGCCCUGGUGUCCAUUGACAUUGUGAUGGCUGAUCUCUCUUUUGUAUUGAUAUUCAUAGACCUGAUUUGUUAUAUUAAUAAGAAGAGUGGAUGGCCCAGAUUUCAGCUUUUCACAUUCAUAAACGGUCCCACUUUCUACAUCUGAUGCUUUUGUCACAUAUCGUAUAAUUAAUCCCAUUACGAGGCCUGGAGAGUAAAGAAAAAAAGAAAAAUGAGAAAGAUUCAAGUACUUUUAAGUAUUUGAUGCUACACAAUUACUGAUUUAGAGAAAAAAUAACUCUGUCAAAGUUAGGACCCCUUUGCAGUGUUUCUACCUUCACAGAGAUACACCUCUCUCAACACGCCAUGGAUGACCAUAAAAUAGUUUUCCAAAGUGGUCAUUUCAUUAGAAUGCAGAUGUUGGUUUGACACAUGUGCAGUCAUAUUCUUAUUUUUGUGAUGCACUUGCUGGCAUAAUUAUUAACUGAGUUUCUCAUGCACCAAAUUUUUAAUAGAUAUUCAGAGCAGGGAGAUGCCUGCAUAACUAACGUGCUGUACUGAGCAUAAAAACAUCAGCUGUGCUGUUGGUGAUUUUACACACUUCAUUUGUGGGGACAAAACUCUGACACAUCCUCAGGCACAUUUUGCCUUCUGUAGGAGACUAUUUUUAAGACUGUAUAAACAUAGGACAAUAAAAGCAGGGGGAAGGGAAGGAAGAUUAAGAAUGGAACUAAUUGAUUUGACUAUCUACAAUUUAGGACUCUUAUCUGAGACAGAUAUUUUGUCUCCUUUUACAUUUAAGAAAAAGGAAAAUGUACUUCUGCAACUAUCCUGUGGAAGGUAUGCUUCUUUCUGUUGGCUCUAGUGGGAGCUUGCAUGUUUACUUCAGGAGAGAUGACUAAUAUUUAGCUGAUAAUAUUGCUGAGAUUAUUUCCACCCUCAGAGACUUGGAUUUGGUUUCAAAUUCAAUUUCCAUGCUUCUUUUAUGUCUUAUGUGCUUUAAGUACCAUGUAUAGGAUGAACAGCUUUAAAGUUACUAAUUAUGAACAUAUGGUAAAAUGCUAAGAAUACUUAGAUUAAAUAUUGAUGGAAGACAUCUAAACAUCUAGAUAGAUAUACUUACUAAUGAAAGAUAAGAAAGAAAAUAAAUUACAGGAAGUAGCUGAGAAGCAUCUGCAGUUUCAGUUUUGUCCUGUAAUCAGGACAAAAUAUUACAGUUUCAGUUUUGUCCUGUAAUCAGAUGCUAAGUGAUCACAAACACCUAGAGACAUAAAUAGGAUGUCUUUGUUAUUGUCAAGUUUUCUGAUAACAGAUAUUCUCUGAACUGCAGAUUCCUGGCAUACAUGUAAGGCAGGUUUGUAGGCUCUUGUACUGAUGCUAGAACUGAGUAACAGCUGUAUUGCCUGUUCAGUCUGUGUAUGCAUUUGUGCUUGUUUAAUAUCUAUUGUUUACUAUGGUUGCUUUCUGUAAAUGAUAGAGGAUUUCAGUAAGCUGUAGAAAAUCCCAAGGCCACUUUCUUAAGUUGCACAGCAUUUGUGCAAUAAAUCACAUUAUAAAUC